rnacentral:piRNA from 1 species
UCUCACGGCUGUCAGCUUUGUCCCUGACU